rnacentral:rRNA from 1 species
AUUGAACGCUGGCGGCAUGCCUUACACAUGCAAGUCGAACGAGGGUAGCAAUACCUUAGUGGCGAACGGGUGAGUAAUAUACCGGAACGUACCCUAGAGUGGGGGACAACCAGUCGAAAGACUGGCUAAUACCGCAUACGAUCUACGGAUGAAAGUGGGGGACCGCAAGGCCUCACGCUCCUGGAGCGGCCGAUAUCUGAUUAGCUAGUUGGUAGGGUAAAAGCCUACCAAGGCAUCGAUCAGUAGCUGGUCUGAGAGGACGAUCAGCCACACUGGGACUGAGACACGGCCCAGACUCCUACGGGAGGCAGCAGUGGGGAAUUUUGGACAAUGGGGGAAACCCUGAUCCAGCAAUGCCGCGUGAGUGAAGAAGGCCUUCGGGUUGUAAAGCUCUUUUGUCAGGGAAGAAAAGGCUAUGGCUAAUAUCCAUGGCUGAUGACGGUACCUGAAGAAUAAGCACCGGCUAACUACGUGCCGGCCGCCGCCGUAA